rnacentral:misc_RNA from 1 species
GCUAAGCAAAAAUAUGUACAGAUAGCCCAGCAAAAUGGAUGCAUGCACAAAUAUGCACUAAACACUAAACCUUCUUAAACAAGCACCAAGGCUUGCUCCUAUAAAUUGCAACAAAAGAUUAGUAUACAAACCACCAUAAAUUAAUUCCUAAACAAAUUUGAAAUGCAGGACCACAUUCACCAUCCAUAUUUACUCCACCUAAUCAUAAUGUAUAUGCUUUCAUUAAAACAAAAAAUGCAAGAGAAAAAUUGGGAACAAAAUGUUACAGGAGGAAGAAAAACAGAAAAGGUUCAUGAAAUUCAUUAACCAAAACCACCACGACAUAUCUAAAAUUAGAAAACAAACCAAGAAUAAAAAUUCUUAUUGAAACUAACCCUUUACAAUCAGUUUUUCUUUACCACAAAAUUGAUAUUCACCAUGAGUACUCAGUUCCUUGCCCGCAUUUAGUACCCCUGUGCUUGCCUUGGUGGACGCAUAGGCCAACCAAGAAGUGGAGGUGAUCCUGGUGGGGUUGCAUCUUGACUAGGAGAGAAGAGGCUUAGUUCCACAAAUGGCCCUGUUGAAGUCCCAUCCCUUUCAUAAGUUCGAAAGGAAAUUGAUCCACGCUUGGUUGAGGCAUCAGAGUUUCUUCCAGGGCUUAAACGACUGCUUUCUUCAAGAUGACUUUGGUUAGCAAUGAGAGAAAUGAUGUCAUUGUGCUCGUCAAUGAUUCUUCUCCUAGCCUCCAAGUCCUGAAGAUUCCCCAGGGCCAAAGAAUCCGCAAUUGGGAAGUACACAAUCAUGAAAAUACAAACCCCAGCACAAGAUAAAAGGGCAAGAAAAGCUGCGAAAGCAAGAGCUUCAAACAGAAAAUCCUCUGGUUUAGAUAAAACAGAUAGCCCAAGUAGAAGAACCCUUAAUGGGAGAAAGCUAGAAACAGAGAAUAUUAAUGUGUAGACUCUCUUCUGUAAACCCUUAUUGAUGACCAAUUUCAAAAUCCGCCUUCCAAGCCAAAACAGAUAGACAGUUAGUAUGGUGGCAAAAAGCCCUAGGAGGAUGGUAUUUAGUAAAGGGUAAGUGCAGAGGGCAGCAUCAGCAUUUUCUGACAUAGGACUAGCUGUGCUUGUAAAAUAAUGGGGCAAUUUUUGUAAGGAGCCUUUAUUAUUACGCAAUUUUGGUCCAAUUAGAAUAAUGAAGAGCUGAAGAGCAAAAAUGGGAAGGCAAUAAAGGAGAACAUAUCCUACAGUUCUCCCGUUCCAUUUUCGACUUAGAAUUCCUGUUUCCAUCCUCUGUAGGGGUGCACGAAGGAGAAACACUAGGGUAAGGAAUAAACAAGGUUCUGCAAAACCCAUAUUUGAGACAAUGUAGCCUUUGCAAACAGUUUCCUGCCAUUUCAAGUCUAGGGCAUUCAACACCCUCCCGUCACGCCUCAAGAAACUUAACCGUGUAAUCUCACCAAAACCCCACCAGAUUACAAACAAAAUGAAUGUGAUUCGGAUAAUCCAAGGACCGCUAAAAUAAGUGAGUUGAAUAAAGUCUUGAUUACGAACACGAGAGCGGAAGUAAAAUGAGUAAGCAAUGCAAAGUAAACCAAGAAGAAUCAAGAGAGCAACUAGGCAAAUUGUCACCACACCGAAUGCAUCGGCAGCAGAUCUCGACAGGGGCAUUACCUGAAGCACAAAUUCCACGCAUGCUCUCUGCCAGCAUGGAUACAAGGAAUCCUCCUCUGAUGGUGUGUACACUUCCUUCCCAGGAUUAAUUUUGAAUGACAGUAAUUUCCAAAGUGAUACUAAAAUUUAGCUUGUCCAGACUGAACUAACCAAGCACAAUCUCCCUAAGUAAUAGCACCUUUCCUUUUACUCAAACAAUGAUGGCAAAGACAUGAGUCGUCACACAUCAAAUGGUCCAAAACCAACACCACUAUGUUCACUCCAAAGCAAAUUUGCAAUAUAGCUUGGGUAAGUUAUCCUAGCCAAACACCUAUAACACAAAAAAAGGGUAAGCAUCCAACACACAAAAAACAACGUAAGUAUUCAACAAAGAGCCAUUAAUUAAUAAUACUUUAAGAAAAGAAACAAAAGAUUAAAAAAAAAUUAACAGAAACUUUUUGGGAGAAUAAUUCAAAAGGACCGCUGCAUACAUAGAUGUCAAGUUUUAUUUAAGUAUAUACACACGAUGAUGUAACUUGUAAGAAUCUUUUUCAUGAAAUGAAGUAAGAACACUUUGUUAUCUUCAAAUGUACAAAUUUAACUUUACCUUCAC